GAGAAGCUGGACAAAAUUAAUAUAACAAUCAUCCGUUAAGCGAAAUAUUAAUUGAUAUUAACUUAAUAUCAAUAUAAAACUGAACCUUUCGUUAAAUCAAAAACCUGCAGAGAGACUAAUAAGACCCAAUCCGAAGAUUAAAUAUAAAACCUAAAGGAGUACUAGUAAUGAACCCAGAAAAGUUGGAAUUGAACUUAAUGUAUGGGUUGAAUAUAUAACAUUGAGAAGGUAACAUAAAGCCUGAACCUACAAUUGAUUAUUAAACCCAGAGAAGCAUACAUUGAACCUGAACCUAUGGUUUAAUAUAGAACCUGGAAAAAUAUACACGGCACCUAAACCUAUGUUGAUUAUUAAAAACCGGAGAAGCACACACAGAACCAGAACCUAUAGUUUAAUAUAGAACCUGGAGAAAUAUACACGGCACCUGAACCUAUAAUUGAAUAUAAAACCUGGAGAAAUAUACAUGACACCUGAACCUAUGUUGAUUAUUAAAGACCGGAGAAGCAAAACACAGAACCUGAACCUAUAGUUAAAUAUAGAACCAUGAGAAAUAUACACAGAACCUGUACCUAUGUUGAUUAUUAAAGACGCCGGAGAAGCAUACACAGAACCGGAACCUAUGGCUGAAUAAAAACCUGGAGAAAUAUACACGGCACCUAAAACUAUGUUGAUUAUUAAAGACCGGAGAAGCAUGCACAGAACCUGAACCUAUGGUUGAAUAUAGAACCUGGAGAAAUAUACACGGCACCUAAACCCAUGUUGAUUAUUAAAACCAGAGAAGCAUACACAGAACCAGAACCUAUAGUUGAAUAUAGAACCUGGAGAAAUAUACACGGCACCUGAACCUAUGUUGAUUAUUAAAGACCGGAGAAGCAUUCACAGAACCUGAACCUGUAGUUGAAUAUAGAACCUGGAGGAAUAUACACAGAACCUGAACCUAUGUUGAUUAUUAAAGACCGGAAAAGCAUUCACAGAACCUGAACCUAUAGUUGAAUAUAGAACCUGGAGGAAUAUACACAGCACCUGAACCUAUGUUGAUAAUUAAAGACCAGGGAAGCAUACAUAGAACCGGAACCUAUAGUUGAAUAUAGAAACCGGAGGAAUAUACACAGAACCUGAACCUAUGUUGAUUGUUAAAGACCGGAGAAGCACACACAGAACCUGAACCUAUAGUUGAAUAUAGAACCUGGAGAAAUAUACAUGACACCUGAACCUAUGUUGAUUAUUAAAGACCGGAGAAGCAUACACAGAACCUGAACCUAUAGUUGAAUAUAGAACCAGGAGAAAUAUGGAAUGUACAAAUAACUUAAACCUAUGUUUGAACAUGCAACCUGAAAAAUGUAGAUUCUCCCCCCUGAGUAAAAACUGAACCUGAACAAAAACAAAGUAGAAAAGAUGUACUCUUCCAAUGGAACAGAUAAAAUGAAGGAUGCAGACCAAGUAGACAAGGAUGAGAUUGAUUGGUUGGAAGUUGUCUCUAGUGUUCUUGAUGAACAAACAUGUUUGGAGAUGGUUAAAGAGUACAUGCUUCUAGUGCGGGAUAUGAAGCUUCCAGAGGAAACAAAAUGCCAUUUUAAAAAAUGUGUAUUCGACAUAAGUACAGGUAAAAAUGUCGUUUUGCCGUUUAUUGGAUAGAAACAAACAGACAGG
rnacentral:lncRNA from 1 species